CGUUGAUGGGUGCCUCAGACUGCUGCUCAGCCAUUAUAAAUUUAUAACCUAUACAUGCGCAAAACAAUGAGCCUUACUUAUUUCACAAAAUAAUGAACUAUGAUAACAAAAGAUUGAGUUUUUGUCAUAACCAUGAAGAAAAGAAAAAUGCUAGAAUUUAUCUGGAUAUAUCAAACAACCAUAAUUACUACAAAGAGUGCAGUUAGAUAAAAUCAUGUAUACUUUUUAUUGUGUAAAAUCAAUACAGUACAAAACAUAGAGAAAGGCAUACUUGAAUCAAAAAUAAUACCACUGCCACAUAUUUCAAUCAACCUAGUCAAUUACUCUAUGCAAAUUUCAUGAACCCCUAAGGCCUUAACCUUAGCACUUUGAGAAGAUUCAACCCAUGGUAAGCAUGCAAAGGUAAAUAUAUGCAAGAUCUGUAUGAUGGUCGUAAGGAAUAUAUCAAAUUACAAGUAAUCGACAAACCAUCUUCUCAUAGUAAUUUUAUCAAACACCUAAUAGACGGUCGAAAAAAAAUUACUAUGGUCGAAACACCUAGUAUACUUAUAUAUGUAUCUAUACAUGAUGUGUACAUAUCUCAAAUCUGGGUGCAGAAAUCUCAAAUCAGAUCUGUACUAGUGUAACUGUGUAAGUAUAGUGUAUAUGAUGUGUACAGAAAUCAGAAAAUAGUAUAGUGUAUAUGAUGUGUACAGAUCUCACGACUUACCGUCGGUGUCUAGUCGGAGACGUUGGGUGCAUGUUGGCUCUGUAGCUCAGUGGUCACUACUCAGGGCAGGCCGGCAAGGUGAGCUUUAAUGGAGGAGAAGCUUCAAUGGAGGAGAAAUUAUUUGUGAAGAACAGAGUGUAGAAGACUGAAGAGUGA
rnacentral:lncRNA from 1 species